CUUGUUCCCAUCUCGAACACAAAAGUUAAGUCCUCCAGCGCCUAUGGUACUGCAUUGGUAACGAUGUGGGAGAGUAGGUCACUGCCGGUC
rnacentral:rRNA from 1 species